ACCUACGGGGCGCAGCAGUAGGGUAUCUUCCACAAUGGGCGAAAGCCUGAUGGAGCAACGCCGCGUGGGUGAAGAAGGUCUUCGGAUCGUAAAACCCUGUUGUUAGAGAAGAAAGUGCGUGAGAGUAACUGUUCACGUUUCGACGGUAUCUAACCAGAAAGCCACGGCUAACUACGUGCCAGCAGCCGCGGUAAUACGUAGGUGGCAAGCGUUAUCCGGAUUUAUUGGGCGUAAAGGGAACGCAGGCGGUCUUUUAAGUCUGAUGUGAAAGCCUUCGGCUUAACCGGAGCAGUGCAUUGGAAACU
rnacentral:rRNA from 1 species